ACGACGUACGUAGUUUGAUCCGUGGCUCGAGGACGAACGCUGGCGGCGUGCUUAACACAUGCAAGUCGAACGGUAAGGCCCUUCGGGGUACACGAGUGGCGAACGGGUGAGUAACACGUGGGUGAUCUGCCCUGCACUUCGGGAUAAGCUUGGGAAACUGGGUCUAAUACCGGAUAGGACCACGGUCUGCAUGGAUUGUGGUGGAAAGCUUUUGCGGUGUGGGAUGGGCCCGCGGCCUAUCAGCUUGUUGGUGGGGUGAUGGCCUACCAAGGCGACGACGGGUAGCCGGCCUGAGAGGGUGUCCGGCCACACUGGGACUGAGAUACGGCCCAGACUCCUACGGGAGGCAGCAGUGGGGAAUAUUGCACAAUGGGCGCAAGCCUGAUGCAGCGACGCCGCGUGGGGGAUGACGGCCUUCGGGUUGUAAACCUCUUUCAGCAGGGACGAAGGGUGACUGACGGUACCUGUAGAAGAAGCACCGGCCAACUACGUG
rnacentral:rRNA from 1 species